rnacentral:rRNA from 2 species
UCGUACGCUUCUUUUUCCACCGGAGGCUUGCUCCACCGGAAAAAGAAGAGUGGCGAACGGGUGAGUAACACGUGGGUAACCUGCCCAUCAGAAGGGGAUAACACUUGGAAACAGGUGCUAAUACCGUAUAACAAUCGAAACCGCAUGGUUUUGAUUUGAAAGGCGCUUUCGGGUGUCGCUGAUGGAUGGACCCGCGGUGCAUUAGCUAGUUGGUGAGGUAACGGCUCACCAAGGCCACGAUGCAUAGCCGACCUGAGAGGGUGAUCGGCCACAUUGGGACUGAGACACGGCCCAAACUCCUACGGGAGGCAGCAGUAGGGAAUCUUCGGCAAUGGACGAAAGUCUGACCGAGCAACGCCGCGUGAGUGAAGAAGGUUUUCGGAUCGUAAAACUCUGUUGUUAGAGAAGAACAAGGAUGAGAGUAACUGUUCAUCCCUUGACGGUAUCUAACCAGAAAGCCACGGCUAACUACGUGCCAGCAGCCGCGGUAAUACGUAGGUGGCAAGCGUUGUCCGGAUUUAUUGGGCGUAAAGCGAACGCAGGCGGUUUCUUAAGUCUGAUGUGAAAGCCCCCGGCUCAACCGGGGAGGGUCAUUGGAAACUGGGAGACUUGAGUGCAGAAGAGGAGAGUGGAAUUCCAUGUGUAGCGGUGAAAUGCGUAGAUAUAUGGAGGAACACCAGUGGCGAAGGCGGCUCUCUGGUCUGUAACUGACGCUGAGGCUCGAAAGCGUGGGGAGCAAACAGGAUUAGAUACCCUGGUAGUCCACGCCGUAAACGAUGAGUGCUAAGUGUUGGAGGGUUUCCGCCCUUCAGUGCUGCAGCUAACGCAUUAAGCACUCCGCCUGGGGAGUACGACCGCAAGGUUGAAACUCAAAGGAAUUGACGGGGGCCCGCACAAGCGGUGGAGCAUGUGGUUUAAUUCGAAGCAACGCGAAGAACCUUACCAGGUCUUGACAUCCUUUGACCACUCUAGAGAUAGAGCUUCCCCUUCGGGGGCAAAGUGACAGGUGGUGCAUGGUUGUCGUCAGCUCGUGUCGUGAGAUGUUGGGUUAAGUCCCGCAACGAGCGCAACCCUUAUUGUUAGUUGCCAUCAUUUAGUUGGGCACUCUAGCAAGACUGCCGGUGACAAACCGGAGGAAGGUGGGGAUGACGUCAAAUCAUCAUGCCCCUUAUGACCUGGGCUACACACGUGCUACAAUGGGAAGUACAACGAGUCGCGAAGUCGCGAGGCUAAGCUAAUCUCUUAAAGCUUCUCUCAGUUCGGAUUGUAGGCUGCAACUCGCCUA